rnacentral:rRNA from 1 species
GACGAACGCUGGCGGCGUGCUUAACACAUGCAAGUCGAACGCUGAAGCCCGCUUGCGGGUGGAUGAGUGGCGAACGGGUGAGUAACACGUGAGUAACCUGCCCUUCACUUUGGGAUAACCUUCGGAAACGGGGGCUAAUACUGGAUAUGACUCAUGGCCGCAUGGUUGUGGGUGGAAAGAUUCUUUGGUGGGGGAUGGGCUCGCGGCCUAUCAGCUUGUUGGUGGGGUGAUGGCCUACCAAGGCGACGACGGGUAGCCGGCCUGAGAGGGCGACCGGCCACACUGGGACUGAGACACGGCCCAGACUCCUACGGGAGGCAGCAGUGGGGAAUAUUGCACAAUGGGCGCAAGCCUGAUGCAGCGACGCCGCGU